GACGAACCGAGCGAACGUUGUUCGGAAUCACUGGGCUUAAAGGGCGCGUAGGCGGGUGCUCAAGUCCGGGGUGAAAUCCCACAGCUCAACUGUGGAACUGCCUCGGAUACUGGGCGUCUCGAGUGUGGUAGGGGUAUGCGGAACUAUCGGUGGAGCGGUGAAAUGCGUUGAUAUCGAUAGGAACUCCGGUGGCGAAGGCGGCAUACUGGACCACUACUGACGCUGAUGCGCGAAAGCCAGGGGAGCAAACGGG
rnacentral:rRNA from 1 species